rnacentral:rRNA from 1 species
GACAUGCAGAGAACUUUCCAGAGAUGGAUUGGUGCCUUCGGGAACUCUGACACAGGUGCUGCAUGGCUGUCGUCAGCUCGUGUCGUGAGAUGUUGGGUUAAGUCCGUAACGAGCGCAACCCUUGUCCUUAGUUACCAGCACGUUAUGGUGGGCACUCUAAGGAGACUGCCGGUGACAAACCGGAGGAAGGGGGGGAGUGACGUCAAGUCAUCAUGGCCCUUACGGCCUGGGCUACACACGUGCUACAAUGGUCGGUACAAAGGGUUGCCAAGCCGCGAGGUGGAGCUAAUCCCAUAAAACCGAUCGUAGUCCGGAUCGCAGUCUGCAACUCGACUGCGUGAAGUCGGAAUCGCUAGUAAUCGUGAAUCAGAAUGUCACGGUGAAUACGUUCCCGGGCCUU